rnacentral:rRNA from 1 species
GGCGAACGGGUGAGUAAUAUAUCGGAACGUGUCCAAUAAUGGGGGAUAACUAGUCGAAAGAUUAGCUAAUACCGCAUACGCCCUGAGGGGGAAAGUGGGGGAUCUUCGGACCUCACGUUAAUGGAGCGGCCGAUAUCUGAUUAGCUAGUUGGUAGGGUAAAAGCCUACCAAGGCGACGAUCAGUAGCUGGUCUGAGAGGAUGAUCAGCCACACUGGGACUGAGACACGGCCCAGACUCCUACGGGAGGCAGCAGUGGGGAAUUUUGGACAAUGGGCGCAAGCCUGAUCCAGCCAUGCCGCGUGAGUGAAGAAGGCCUUCGGGUUGUAAAGCUCUUUCGCAAGGAAAGAAAACUUACAUGUAAAUAAUGUGUGAGGUUGACGGUACCUUGAUAAGAAGCACCGGCUAACUACGUGCCAGCAGCCGCGGUAAUACGUAGGGUGCAAGCGUUAAUCGGAAUUACUGGGCGUAAAGCGAGCGCAGGCGGUUUUGUAAGUCAGAUGUGAAAGCCCCGGGCUCAACCUGGGAACUGCGUUUGAAACUACAAGGCUAGAGUAUGGGAGAGGGGGGUAGAAUUCCACGUGUAGCAGUGAAAUGCGUAGAGAUGUGGAGGAAUACCAAUGGCGAAGGCAGCCCCC